GGCACUAUAGUGCAGUGGUAGAACGCCGCUCCUGCUCCAACAGCGCAGGGCGGUUCGAUUCCGCUUGGUGGCA